rnacentral:misc_RNA from 1 species
CUGCGGAAGGAUCAUUGUCAAAAACCUGCAUAGCAGAAUGACCCACGAACGUGUUUAACAACUGGGGAGCCCACGUUGGCAGAGUGCUUCAGCAGCACGAGAACCUUCCCUCGUCCUCGGUGCAUGCACCCAGUACGCGCGUCGGGCGACUAAUGAACCCCAACGCGAAAAGCACCAAGGAAUACUUAAAUUGACAGCCUGCACCUCACUCUCCAUUCGUGGCCUGUAUCAAGCGGACGUGUGCUUCUCUUAUAAAUAAAAAUUACUCUCGGCAAUGGAUAUCUUGGCUCUCGUAUUGAUGAAAAACAUAGUGAAAUACAAUACUUGGUGUGAAUUGCAGAAUCCCGUGAACCAUUGACUCUUUGAACGCAAGUUGCGCCUGAAGCCAUUAGGCCGAGGGCACGUCUGCCUGGACAUCAUGCAUCGCGUCACCCCCUUGCAUCGCACCUUAAUCAUGGGGUGCGCUUCCAUCACAGGGCGGAUACUAGCCUCCCGUUAACCUCACUCGCGGCUGGCCUAAAUGCGAGUCCAGUCAAUGAACGUGAAGUGCGUGGUUGUAACUCAACUCUCUUUGCUCGCGGCUACAGCCUGUCG